UUUUCCCUUUGUUUUUUUUUUUGGACGCAACUUUUACAAUUUCAACCCUGCCUUAAAAGGAGGACGCUCUCGAUCCAGGAAAUUUCUCACCCGAAUUUUGUUUUUCACAACUCUUAACUUGACGGAUGUGGGAUGUUUGGGGCCUUCUUCUCCAGAGGAUCUUCCUUGAUCCAAAAACGUUGAGUGGGGCUUGUGAUUCAAGAAGACAAUGUUGGCCACCAUGUUUUCGAAGCUUGCUCACUUGGCUUGAGAUGGGUUUCACCUCUUCUCCAUUCAGGGUUUCAUUAAUGGGUGCGUGUGUGUGUUUAUUUUAACCACGGAUCUGUGAAGACGGGAUGGCAAAAGAAGGUUCUCAUUAUGUGAGCCCAUAGUUCUUGGUUGGGUUUGAAGUCCAAGCCAAGAUUUGAGGUGACCAAGAUCCGGUCCUUCCUCCCGACCUCAGGAUCCUUCCCAUAAUAAUUCUGGACACCUCAUUUCCUCAAGUUUCUUUCUCCAACUCCAGAAAUUGGGAUGUUGUAGGAAGAAGACCAUAGUAGAUCAUGGUUGGGUUGAAGGGUAGCCAUCAAGAAAGGCACUUGAUGAGUUAGUUGAAAAAGAUAUGGUUGCAAACCCCCCUUCCAACCCUGGUUUGUCCAAGAAUGGAUCUGGUUUGGUCAUGGGUAGCCAGGGACCAUCUUCCCAGGCAACCCAACCCAACUCAACUCAACCCAAUGCAACUCAACCCAACCCAACCCAUGACAUACAAGAUCUUUCAAUUUUUGCAGUCCAUGAUGGGGAAUCUUCUUCAGGAGAAGAACUGGGAUUUAUGGGGAGCCCCAUGGCCACCUGGAGAGGACGCUUCAAGCAGCCUUUGUACUAGAGACCAUAACUGGAGGAGAAAUUGGGCUGCCCUCCC